UACGAAGGGGGCUAGCGUUGCUCGGAAUCACUGGGCGUAAAGCGCACGUAGGCGGGUUGUUAAGUCGGGGGUGAAAUCCUGGAGCUCAACUCCAGAACUGCCUUCGAUACUGGCGACCUUGAGUCCGGGAGAGGUGAGUGGAACUCCGAGUGUAGAGGUGAAAUUCGUAGAUAUUCGGAAGAAUACCAGUGGCGAAGGCGGCUCACUGGCCCGGUACUGACGCUGAGGUGCGAAAGCCAGGGGAGCAAACGGG
rnacentral:rRNA from 1 species